CUCUGAGGGGACCCCCUGGCCUAGGGGCUGGAACAGGACACUCAGCAGGCAGCCCAAGAAGUAUGUGCCCAAGAUAUUUGGGAGGCCCAAAAUGGGGGACCUCCUCAACCAUCUUUAAUCCAGCGAUUCUGGUGGGGUGCUGGCAGUCACAGGGCCCUGUGCCCCAGCCAGUGAGUGGUUCACAGGUAAGGGGGUGACUCAGCCUGGGCCCAUCUGUGUCCUUCGCUGGGAACUUCGGAUCACCUGAGAAGGAGCGGUUACUCCUUGCCCGAGGACCAGGAGCUCCAAAGAUGUGGCUACAGGGCUGCCAUUGGCCGUGAGUAUACACAGAAGGCUGAGGGAUGGAGGCCGACACACCCACAGAGAAGCUGACAGGUUCACAGAUGAAGGGGAAUUUUGACACAGGAUGAAUCAUGCCUUGGAUUUCACGCAAACCUGAUUUGGACAAUUUAGAUGCUGGCACGGUGACCUUAGUGUUGAUGCUGGGGUGAUCAAGACUUUUGGAGAUGUUGGGAUGAGGUGGACUUAUUUUGUGCAUGAGAAGGAGGUGAAUUUGGGGGGACCAGAG
rnacentral:lncRNA from 1 species